rnacentral:rRNA from 1 species
GAUGAACGCUAGCGGCAGGCUUAAUACAUGCAAGUCGAGGGGUAGCAAGAUUGUAGCAAUACAAUUGUUGACGACCGGCAAAAGGGUGCGGAGCACGUACACAACCUUCCUAAAAGUGGGGAAUAGCCCAGAGAAAUUUGGAUUAAUACCCCGUAACAUAGCGAUGUGGCAUCACACUGCUAUUAUAGCUUCGGCGCUUGUUGAUGGGUGUGCGGCUGAUUAGAUAGUUGGCGGGGUAACGGCCCACCAAGUCUACGAUCAGUAGCUGAUGUGAGAGCAUGAUCAGCCACACGGGGACUGAGACACAGGCCCGACUCCUACGGGAGGCAGCAGUAAGGAAUAUUGGACAAUGGACGCAAGUCUGAUCCAGCCAUGCCGCGUGAAGGAUUAAGGUCCUCUGGAUUGUAAACUUCUUUUAUAAGGGACGAAAAAAGUUCUUUCUAGAUCGUCUGACGGUACCUUAUGAAUAAGCACCGGCUAACUCCGUGCCAGCCGCCGCGGUAACAC